UGUUGUGACGGCCGCGUGCGUAUACAUAACCUACCUAUAUCGAAACCGUAUUUUCCGAAGCGUAGAAGUCGUCAACGAACCGUCGCCGUGCAUUAUACUCAUCUGCUCUCGUCGUAGUCGUAGCCGCGUGCACCCACCUGUUAUUGUGCGAUAAAUUAUUUUAAAAUCCGUCGUCGAAACAAUAAUUACCGACCGACGGAUCGAACCGCAGACGUCGGACCACCGAUCGUUAUAGUCGACAAGACAGCCCCGAUUACCUCCACUGGAGCUCCGAUGUUGUACGCGUCGUAGACCAGCGAGUCCAGACACUAUUUUGCAGCAGUGUUGUACCGUCUACGGCAUAAACAGUCUUCUCCAUACGACAAACCCGAAAAAAACAGUUCUCUCUUCCGUCAACACAUCCACGAAACCAGCGGCGACGGAAUUGCAAUGUCGUCGGACAACGGUCAAUCCAUCGCCGGCAACGCGAAGCCGAAAAUGGAACCUCUGGACAGCGAAGUGCAACGGAAAUUGAUAAACAAUUUGGACGAUAUGUUGUUGAAACAGGCCAGGCCCGCUGGACAGGACGAGUACGUCCGCCCCAGCGUGAUCGUGUGGAAUCCCGCGGCGAUGAGGAGGCAGACGACUUUUGCGCAGGACACGGGGUCGGCAAACCGGAACGCCGGGACCUACUUCCGGCCCGUUUGAGUGUUAUAACAAUAAGGUCAUUGUAGUAUUAUAACAUUAUAGACUCGUCACACACCGCACGCACUAUGCUCAGACUAUUAUUAAUUAAUAUAAUAUUAUUAUAUAAUACGACGUUUUAUUAUAAUAUUUUCUAAAUCAUAAUAAUUGUAAUUUUUUUUUACAUGUAACUACGGAUCCCGUGAUUUGUAUUACACGUCGACGAAAAAAGGUAUAUUUUAGUAAGAUGUGUGUG